CGUGCCGCAGGCAGGAUCUCCCAGCACGCGCGGGCGCCCAGCAGGGCCAGAGCCGAGCAGCGCGGAGCAGGCGCGCUGCAGGAGCCGGGCUCUGCCGGAGGCCGGCGCGAGAUGUGACUUAUGGCUAAGAUUUCCUGUUUGGACACAAUGCAAAGCACUUAACAUUAAAAGAAGAAAGAGGAAAGAAAAGGGAAAAAAGUGCAUAAUUUCUGAAUUGAAGUUAUCUGCCAUGACCUUUUAAAAGAUCGCUCCUUGGAUUGAGUGAAAUAAUUGUAAAGAAUAGACAAUUAUGACCUUUUGAUCUCUGAAAGAGUCCACCAGAGCUGGUAGCAGAACUGGCUGAGUUCAGUGAGGUCCUAGCCUGAGGAACAACCUGCUUAACAGACUGGAACCAAUUACAGUGUCUGCACGUGCCCCAAAGCUCUACAAGCCACUUCCAUUGCAGAGUAUCCCACCUUUCUGGAAGCAUCCUACCCUAUGAAGGAUUGUAUCAGCACCUGAUUGAGGGUAAGCAGAGGUUUUGAGGUGUGGGAGAGGUGAGAUGAGGAUACGCUCAACACUUAGGACAAAUGGCCUUAAAUGUCCCUACUAUGUAAGAGGUGAAGUCUUCUGCUGGAGAGUGGAAACAGGGAAUUUGAAAAGAAAGAUCACA